rnacentral:rRNA from 1 species
GUGUCAGCCGCCGCGGUAAUACGGAGGGUGCGAGCGUUAAUCGGAAUUACUGGGCGUAAAGCGCGCGUAGGCGGCUGGGUAAGUCGGAUGUGAAAGCCCUGGGCUUAACCUGGGAAUGGCAUUCGAUACUGCCCGACUAGAGUAUGGUAGAGGAAAGCGGAAUUCCCGGUGUAGCGGUGAAAUGCGUAGAUAUCGGGAGGAACAUCAGUGGCGAAGGCGGCUUUCUGGACCAAUACUGACGCUGAGGCGCGAAAGCGUGGGUAGCAAACAGGAUUAGAUACCCUGGUAGUCCACGCCCUAAACGAUGUCAACUAGCCGUUGGGUUCAUUAAAGAGCUUAGUGGCGCAGCUAACGCGAUAAGUUGACCGCCUGGGGAGUACGGCCGCAAGGCUAAAACUUAAAGGAAUUGGCGGGG